rnacentral:rRNA from 1 species
GCCAGACUCCUACGGGAGGCAGCAGUGGGGAAUAUUGCACAAUGGGGGGAACCCUGAUGCAGCGACGCCGCGUGGGUGAAGGAGCACCUCGGUGCGUAAAGCUCUGUCAGCAGGGAAGAGAAUGACGGUACCUGACCAAGAAGCCCCGGCUAACUACGUGCCAGCAGCCGCGGUAAUACGUAGGGGGCAAGCGUUAUCCGGAUUUACUGGGUGUAAAGGGAGCGUAGACGGAAAGGCAAGUCAGAAGUGAAAGCCCAAGGCUCAACCAUGGGACUGCUUUUGAAACUGUCAAACUAGAGUACGGGAGAGGUAAGAGGAAUUCCUAGUGUAGCGGUGAAAUGCGUAGAUAUUAGGAGGAACACCAGUGGCGAAGGCGCCUUACUGGACCGAAACUGACGUUGAGGCUCGAAAGCGUGGGGAGCAAACAGGAUUAGAUACCCUAGUAC